CAACUAUUGCUUACAAUAAUACAAUUUUUUCUUCAACUUGUGAUGUAGUCUUUUUUCUCUCUUAUUGUAUAUACCCUGCUUGAUACGGCAUAUGUGAUGUUUAUGGGAGUCAUGGUUGAAGGGUCAGGUACUAUAUAGCAAGCAAGUUUAUGCCUGUUAUAUGCUCUUUCCUGGAAGCAGCUGACAUUAUUGGUGGUUUUAAUUAAUUAAAUAAAACCUCUUUAAAGUGUAUACG
rnacentral:lncRNA from 1 species